rnacentral:rRNA from 1 species
GCCUAGUCGUAAACAAUUUAUUUACAUUUCCAACGCCCGGGUAUUACGAGUUAAACUUAAAACCCAAAGGACUUGACGGUGCCCCACCCACCUAGAGGAGCCUGUUCUAUAAUCGAUAAUCCCCGCUUUACCUAACCAUCUUUCGCCUACUCAGUCUGUAUACCUCCGUCGUAAGCUUACCAUGUGAACGCCUAUAGUAAGCCCAAUGGCCACUUCGCCAAUACGUCAGGUCAAGGUGCAACUUAUAUUAUGGCAAGUAAUGGGCUACAAUUUCUAAAAUAGAACAAACGAAAGGCUGUCUGAAACCCCAGUCACGAAGGAGGAUCUAACAGUAAAAAGAAAAUAGAGAGUUCUUUUUAAUUUGGCACUGGGACGCGUACACACCGCCCGUCACCCUCUUCAACAGUCUUUAUUUCGAUAAUUAACUAAUCAACUUCAUCCU